UCUAAUUUUUAAGUUUUUUGUUUUUCUUCAUCACACCGAGCUUAAACAUCGUUUGGUUCUUGGAUCUUCCGAUUUCCAGAUUUAAGCCGAUAAUACGAGAUCCGAAGGGCUUACUAGCCUUUCUCCGGUUAAUCUGUAAACAUGCCUCUCAGACUCGAGAUCAAGAAAAAACUAGCUCAAAGGUCCGAGAGAGUAAAAUCUGUGGAUCUACAUCCUACAGAGCCAUGGAUUCUUGCAAGUUUGUAUUCUGGAACCUUGUGUAUUUGGAACUACCAGACACAGGUGAUGGCAAAAUCCUUUGAGGUGACUGAAUUACCAGUUCGGUCGGCCAAGUUUAUAGCGCGUAAGCAAUGGGUUGUGGCAGGAGCUGAUGAUAUGUAUAUCCGUGUAUACAACUACAAUACCAUGGACAAGGUUAAAGUGUUUGAAGCUCAUUCAGACUACAUUAGGUGUGUGGCUGUUCAUCCAACGCUUCCAUAUGUGCUGUCAUCUUCUGAUGAUAUGCUCAUAAAGCUUUGGGACUGGGAAAAGGGUUGGGCUUGCACUCAGAUAUUCGAGGGACACUCGCACUAUGUGAUGCAGGUCACAUUUAAUCCAAAAGACACCAACACUUUUGCCAGUGCAUCGCUUGAUCGUACCAUAAAGAUUUGGAAUCUUGGUUCCCCAGACCCAAAUUUUACAUUGGACGCCCAUCAGAAAGGAGUAAAUUGUGUAGAUUAUUUCACCGGUGGUGAUAAGCCCUAUUUAAUUACCGGCUCUGAUGAUCACACUGCUAAGGUCUGGGACUAUCAAACAAAGAGUUGUGUCCAGACCCUGGAAGGGCACACACACAAUGUAUCUGCAGUAUGUUUCCAUCCAGAGCUUCCAAUUAUAAUCACAGGUUCUGAAGAUGGCACUGUUCGCAUUUGGCAUGCAACUACAUACAGGCUAGAGAACACGUUGAAUUAUGGCCUCGAGAGAGUUUGGGCAAUAGGUUACAUUAAAAGUUCACGACGGGUUGUGAUUGGUUAUGAUGAAGGAACCAUCAUGGUUAAACUUGGACGAGAAAUUCCUGUCGCUAGCAUGGACAAUACCGGGAAAAUUAUAUGGGCUAAGCAUAAUGAAAUUCAAACUGCAAACAUCAAAAGUCUUGGUGCGGAUUACGAGGUUACUGAUGGAGAGAGGUUGCCCUUGAGUGUUAAAGAGUUGGGGACCUGUGAUCUUUAUCCACAAAGCUUGAAGCACCACCCUAAUGGGAGGUCUGUUGUAGUCUGUGGUGAUGGGGAGUAUAUAAUCUACACAGCUUUGGCUUGGAGAAAUAGGUCAUUUGGUUCUGGACUGGAAUUCGUUUGGUCGUCCGAGGGGGAGUGUGCGGUUAGAGAAAGCUCAUCAAAGAUUAAAUUAUUUAACAAAAAUUUCCAGGAAAAGAGGAGUAUCCGCCCUACUUUUUCAGCUGAGAAGAUCUUUGGAGGAACCUUGUUAGCUAUGUGUUCAAGUGAUUUCAUCUGCUUUUAUGAUUGGGCUGAAUGUAGGCUGAUUCAACGUAUUGACGUCACUGUAAAGAAUCUAUAUUGGGCUGACAGUGGUGACUUAGUAGCCAUUGCUAGUGACACAUCAUUCUACAUCUUGAAAUACAACCGCGACUUAGUUUCCUCACAUUUUGAUAGCGGAAAAUCUACUGAGGAUGAAGGUGUUGAGGAUGCUUUUGAGGUUCUUCAUGAAAAUGAUGAACGUGUUAGGACAGGUAUAUGGGUUGGUGACUGUUUCAUUUACAACAACUCUUCCUGGAAGCUUAACUACUGUGUUGGAGGCGAGGUAACCACAAUGUAUCAUUUGGAUCGCCCAAUGUAUUUGUUGGGCUAUCUUGCAAGUCAAAGUCGGGUGUUCUUGGUUGACAAAGAAUUCAAUGUUAUAGGAUACACCUUGCUACUAAGCCUGAUUGAGUACAAGACUCUUGUGAUGCGGGGUGAUUUAGACAAAGCCAGUGAAAUCUUACCUACAAUUCCUAAAGAUCAGCAUAACAGUGUUGCUCAUUUCUUGGAGUCACGGGGAAUGAUUGAAGAUGCUCUGGAAAUUGCAACAGAUCCUGACUACAGAUUUGAUUUGGCCAUACAACUCGGUAGACUUGAAAUUGCACAGGAAAUCGCCGUAGAGGCACAGAGUGAAUCUAAGUGGAAGCAAUUAGGAGAGUUAGCCAUGUCCUCUGGAAAGCUGCAAAUGGCAGAGGAAUGUAUGAAGUAUGCGAUGGAUUUAAGUGGUCUGUUACUGCUUUAUUCUUCUCUGGGAGAUGCUGAAGGUGUGACAAAUCUAGCAACACUUGCUAAAGAACAAGGGAAGAACAAUGUCGCCUUUCUUUGCCUAUUCAUGCUGGGUAAACUGGAAGAUUGUUUGCAGUUAUUGGUGGAGAGCAACCGGAUACCAGAAGCUGCUCUGAUGGCCCGAUCAUAUCUUCCAAGCAAAGUUUCUGAGAUAGUAGCUCUUUGGAGGAAAGAUCUCAGCAAGGUUAAUUCAAAAGCAGCAGAAUCUUUGGCUGAUCCUGAGGAGUACCCAAAUCUUUUUGAAGAUUGGCAAGUUGCUCUUUCUGUUGAAGCUAGAGCUGUAGAGACAAGGGGAGCUUACACAGGUGCAGAAAAUUAUCCUAGCCAUGCUGAUAAAUCUUCCAUGACCCUCGUGGAAGCCUUUAGAAACUUGCAGGUUGAGGAAGAGGAAUCACUUGAAAAUGGAGAUGUCGAACACGAGGAGUUAAUAGCAGAAGAAAAUGGAAAUGAACAAAGGAAUGAGGAGGAUGUAGAGGAGCAUCAUGAAGAAAAAGAAGCGGAAGAAGAAGAAGAAGGAAAUGUUGAUGGAGAUUCUACGGAUGGAGCUGUACUUGUUAACGGAAGUGAGGCUGACGAAGAGUGGGGUACGAAUAAUGAAGGAAAUCCAUCAGCCUAAUUGCAAGUCGGUCAAGGCCAAUGUUGAAAAGUCUGAAAAUUUUGUCUCUGUGCUUACACCCCGUCAGUAGAGUUUACAGUUUAUGGGAAUGGCGAAAGUUCUAGGAACAAUGGAGAGGUGAGAGAACUUUCGUUCUUUUUUUUUCCUCCUUAUUGACGAUUCAACGGUCAAAUCCGAGCAGCAUUGGGGAACCACAUUUUGAAACCAUUUGUAAUAAAAGUUUGAAUUGCUUAAGAAACAUUUAAAAUCCGGGCAGGACUUUGCUGGAGAGACUGUGGAGGAUUUAGAUGAAAUAGAGAGGCUGGUGAGUUUAAAAGGAAGUGUGGUCGUUCCUUUUUGUGUCUUUUGCACUCACAGGGAGAUUUUAUUAUUAUUAUCAUAUGGUUUUGGUUUUGUUUUACUAAUCUGAUUGUUUUUCUUUUCUUCUC